rnacentral:rRNA from 1 species
ACGCCGCGUGCGGGAUGACGGCCUUCGGGUUGUAAACCGCUUUCGCCUGUGACGAAGCGUGAGUGACGGUAAUGGGUAAAGAAGCACCGGCUAACUACGUGCCAGCAGCCGCGGUGAUACGUAGGGUGCGAGCGUUGUCCGGAUUUAUUGGGCGUAAAGGGCUCGUAGGUGGUUGAUCGCGUCGGAAGUGUAAUCUUGGGGCUUAACCCUGAGCGUGCUUUCGAUACGGGUUGACUUGAGGAAGGUAGGGGAGAAUGGAAUUCCUGGUGGAGCGGUGGAAUGCGCAGAUAUCAGGAGGAACACCAGUGGCGAAGGCGGUUCUCUGGGCCUUUCCUGACGCUGAGGAGCGAAAGCGUGGGGAGCGAACAGGCUUAGAUACCCUGGUAGUCCACGCUGUAAACGGUGGGUACUAGGUGUGGGGUCCAUUCCACGGGUUCCGUGCCGUAGCU